CCUACGGGAGGCAGCAGUGGGGGAUAUUGCACAAUGGGGGGAACCCUGAUGCAGCGACGCCGCGUGGGGGAAGGAGGGUUUCGGCUCGUAAAGCCCUAUCGGCAGGGAAGAAAAUGACGGUACCUGACCAAUAAGCACCGGCUAACUCCGUGCCAGCAGCCGCGGUAAUACGUAGGGGGCAAGCGUUAUCCGGAUUGACUGGGCGUAAAGGGGGCGUAGGCGGGAAUGCAAGCCAGGAGUGAAAGCCCAGGGCCCAACCCCGGGACUGCUUUUGAAACUGCAUGGCUGGAGUACAGGAGGGGCAGGCGGAAUUCUUAGUGUAGCGGUGAAAUGCGUAGAUAUUAGGAGGAACACUGGUGGCGAAGGCGGCCUGCUGGACCGUGACUGACGUUGAGGCCCGAAGGCGUGGGGAGCAAACAGGAUUAGAUACCCGAGUAGUC
rnacentral:rRNA from 1 species